rnacentral:rRNA from 1 species
GGCGGCAGGCUUAACACAUGCAAGUCGAGCGGUAGCAGAUCUAGCUUGCUAGAUGCUGACGAGCGGCGGACGGGUGAGUAAUGCGUAGGAACCUGCCCAGUAGUGGGGGAUAGCCCGGGGAAACUCGGAUUAAUACCGCAUACGCUCUACGGAGGAAAGAGGGGCUUCGGCUCUCGCUAUUGGAUGGGCCUGCGUGAGAUUAGCUAGUUGGUGAGGUAAUGGCUCACCAAGGCGACGAUCUCUAGCUGGUCUGAGAGGAUGAUCAGCCACACUGGGACUGAGACACGGCCCAGACUCCUACGGGAGGCAGCAGUGGGGAAUAUUGCACAAUGGGCGCAAGCCUGAUGCAGCCAUGCCGCGUGUGUGAAGAAGGCGUUCGGGUUGUAAAGCACUUUCAGUGGGGAGGAAGGCCUCGUAGUUAAUAGCUGCGAGGAUUGACGUUACCCACAGAAGAAGCACCGGCUAACUCCGUG